rnacentral:rRNA from 1 species
GUCUAUGGCCAUACCACCCUUAAUGCGCCCCCGAUCUCGUCUGAUCUUGGAAGCUAAGCAUGGUCCGGCCCGGUUAGUACUUGGAUGGGAGACGAACUAGGAAUACCGGGUGCUGUAGGCA